GAUGAACGCUAGCGGCAGGCUUAAUACAUGCAAGUCGAGGGGCAGCAGCUCUGUAGCAAUACAGAGGCUGGCGACCGGCAAACGGGUGCGGAACACGUACGCAACUUACCCAUAACUGGUGAAUAGCCCUCCGAAAGGAGGAUUAAUACAUCGUAACAUAAUGAGAUGGCAUCAUUUUAUUAUUAUAGCUCUCGGGCGGUUAUGGAUGGGCGUGCGGCUGAUAGGUAGUUGGCGGAGUAAUAGCCCACCAAGCCAACGAUCAGUAACUGGUGUGAGAGCACGACCAGUCACACGGGCACUGAGACACGGGCCCGACUCCUACGGGAGGCAGCAGUAAGGAAUAUUGGUCAAUGGACGCAAGUCU
rnacentral:rRNA from 1 species